AAAAUUCUAUUUUUGUUUGUAAAUAAUUCAGUCUUUCUGCAUGCAUUCCCUUUUAGUUGGUAAGUUUUAGAAUAUACACACCCUUUUGAUUAGAGAAACAAGAGUGGAUCUUGUAGAGUACUACAGACGUGAAGGGUGCUUAUGCCAUCCUUUCGCGUAAUCGACUCCCUUACCUAUCUCUUGGUUGCAAGACAAUUAGAUUCAUCCUUUUUGUAGAUUUACUCAGUGAAUCCUUUUCCUAUCUUGGGAUAAAUAUCAUUGGUGGCGACUCUG
rnacentral:lncRNA from 1 species